AUUACCGCGGCUGCUGGCACAGAGUUAGCCGGUGCUUAUUCUGCGAGUAACGUCCACUAUCUCUAGGUAUUAACUAAAGUAGCCUCCUCCUCGCUUAAAGUGCUUUACAACCAUAAGGCCUUCUUCACACACGCGGCAUGGCUGGAUCAGGCUUGCGCCCAUUGUCCAAUAUUCCCCACUGCUGCCUCCCGUAGGAGU
rnacentral:rRNA from 1 species